AUGGUGCCAUGGAGCUACCUCGCUAGGAAUGAGGAUGGAAAAAAAGAAAAUAACAAAGUUUUGCUUGGACUAUAUGCAAAUGAUGUUCUUUGCAGGGUUGCAUUUGGGAGGGAUUUCUCAGCAGGAGGAGAAUAUGAUAGCCAUGGUUUCCAAAAGAUGCUUGAGGAGUAUCAAGUAUUGCUUGGAGGAUUUAGCAUAGGAGAUUUCUUCCCUUCCAUGGAGUUCAUACACAGCUUAACAGGCAUGAAAUCAAGACUGCAGAAUACUUUUCAACGCUUUGAUAAACUCUUUGAUCGGUUGCUGACUGAGCAUGAAAAUCCCAAAAGAGAAAAAGAGGAGCAUAAGGAUCUUGUGGAUGUUUUACUUGAUAUACAGAGGAAUGGCUAUGAUGAAAUGCCACUCACCACAGAUAAUAUUAAAGCUAUCAUCUUGGAUAUGUUUGCUGGAGGAACUGAUACAACUUUCAUCACCCUUGACUUGGGAAUGACAGAACUUAUCAUGAACCCCAAAGUCAUGGAAAAAGCACAAGCUGAAAUAAGGAGAAUAGUUGGAGACAGAAGAGUUGUUUUGGAGGGUGAUCUGCCUCAGCUGCACUACAUGAAAGCUGUAAUUAAAGAGAUCUAUCGGUUACAUCCUCCUGCUCCAGUAUUGCUCCCGAGAGAAUUCAUGGAAGAAGUGAACAUUGAUGGGUACAAUAUUCCAGCCAAAACUCGUUUUUUUGUAAAUGCUUGGGCAAUAGGGAGAGACCCAGAAUCUUGGGAAAAUCCAGAUGUUUUUGAACCAGAAAGAUUUAUGGGUAGCCGUAGCACUGUUGAUUUCAAGGGACAGCAUUUUGAGCUGAUACCUUUUGGUGCUGGUAGAAGAAGCUGCCCAGCUAUCACAUUUGAACAGCGAGUAUUGAGCUUGCUUUGGCUCAACUUCUCCACAGCUUUGAUUGGGAGCUUCCCCCUGGUGUUACAGCUAAAGAUUUAGACAUGACAGAGGCUUUUGGCAUCACAAUGCACAGGAUAGCUAAUCUGAUUGUCAUUGCCAAACCACAUUUUCCCUUGGACCAUAAUGAUAAUCCAAAGAUUUAGUCAUCCUCCUGGGCCCUGGCACAAGGUACAAUGGAAUAAAAAUAUCUAAUGUUUUAAUCU